GUGCUUGCUUUGGCAGCACAUACACUAAAAAAAAUUGGAAUGAUACAGAGAGGAUAAAUAUAUCCCCUGGGCAAGGGUGACAUGCGAAUUCAUGAAGUGUUCCAUAAGAGA